ensembl:lncRNA
CAGAGAUGGUGGAGUGAUGUUCUGACUGGGGGGCUACAGGCUACAGUCAGAGAUGGUGGAGUGAUGUUCUGACUGGGGGGCUACAGGCUACAGUCAGAGACAGGGGAGUGAUGUGUUGACUGGGGGCUACAGGCUACAGUCAGAGACAGGGGAGUGAUGUGUUGACUGGGGGGCUACAGGCUACAGUCAGAGACAGGGGAGUGAUGUUCUGACUGGGGGCUACAGGCUACAGUCAGAGACAGUGGAGUGAUGUGUUGACUGGGGGGCUACAGGCUACAGUCAGAGACAGGGGAGUGAUGUGUUGACUGGGG